GAUGAACGCUGGCGGCGUGCCUAAUACAUGCAAGUCGAGCGAACGGACGAGAAGCUUGCUUCUCUGAUGUUAGCGGCGGACGGGUGAGUAACACGUGGAUAACCUACCUAUAAGACUGGGAUAAAUUCGGGAAACCGGAGCUAAUACCGGAUAAUAUUUUGAACCGCAUGGUUCAAAAGUGAAAGACGGUCUUGCUGUCACUUAUAGAUGGAUCCGCGCUGCAUUAGCUAGUUGGUAAGGUAACGGCUUACCAAGGCAACGAUGCAUAGCCGACCUGAAAGGGUGAUCGGCCACACGGGAACUGAGACACGGUCCAGACUCCUACGGGAGGCAGCAGUAGGGAAUCUUCCGCAAUGGGCGAAAGCCUGACGGAGCAACGCCGCGUGAGUGAUGAAGGUCUUCGGAUCGUAAAACUCUGUUAUUAGGGAAGAACAUAUGUGUAAGUAACUGUGCACAUCUUGACGGUACCUAAUCAGAAAGCCACGGCUAACUACGUG
rnacentral:rRNA from 1 species